rnacentral:lncRNA from 1 species
GUGAGAAGACGGAGGAAGAGGCCCUGGCUGGGGCAAAUGAGGAGGAGGUGGGGCCGGGAACUGAGAAGGUGCAGGAGGAGGCUGCCUGCAUUGACGAGGCAGAGGAGGAGGCAGGCCCAUCCCUUGAAAAUGACGAGGAGUCCCCAGCCAGCGACCUGGUUGAGCAGGAAGACCAGCUUGCCCCCAAGGUAAGCUCACCUUUCUUGAUCGGAGAUUUAAAAAGGUGCCUCCUUUCUUCUUGGAUGUGCCUACUUCAGAAAAGGAAAUCUGAGCAAGUCCAUUAUAGAGGAUAUAUGCACAUUCCUCUGUGGAGGAAUGUUGAGUCAAAGUUUGGUACCAACCAAUAACUCCUUCCAAGGGGCAUUGGCAAAAGGGACCACAUCAGUUCCCAAGUGUACAUAGGGAGCAUUUGUCUUUGAAGAAGCCUGAAUGUUUUGUUUUGUUGUCUUUUUGCCUUUUCUAGGGCCACUCCUGUGGCAUAUGGAGGUUCCCAGGCUCAGGGUCAAACCAGAGCUGUAGCCACCGGCCUGCGCCAGAGCCACAGCAACGCGGGAUCCGAGCCACGUCUGCAACCUACACCUCAGCUCACGGCAAUGCCGGAUCCUUAACCCACUGAGCAAGGCCAGGGAUCGAACCCGCAACCUCAUGGUUCCUGGUCGGAUUCGUUAACCACUGCGCCACGACGGGAACUCCAAAGAAGCCUGAAUGUUUUUUAAAUGAACGUGGACUUGGGAGGUCUUCCAUGAAAAGCUGGUGCCUUUUCCACAGGUGUCUUUGCUGUCUUCUUUUGGGGAAACAGACUCAACUCUGCCUUCUGUCUGUGUGCCUGCGGUCCGCAACCACAGGAAGACCUGUGGCCACAGUGCAGAGGAUGCUGUGACACUCACAGUGUUUUCUUUUCUCUCAUCACAGGUGGACGGGAUGGACGAUGAAAGCCUAUGUUUCAUGGAGAGUCUGAGUGACAGCAACCAUGAUGAAAGUGAUACAGGUAAGAACAGCUCUCAGGUAGGAGCCAAUGGGAGAGGGAUCCCGGGACACUUGGGUGACGCCUGCUGCUUGGAGUGUGGG